UGGCGGCAUGCGCUUACCAUGCAAGUCGAACGGCAGCGCGGGGCAACCUGGCGGCGAGUGGCGAACGGGUGAGUAAUAUAUCGGAACGUGCCCUGGAGUGGGGGAUAACGCAGCGAAAGUUGCGCUAAUACCGCAUACGAUCUAAGGAUGAAAGCAGGGGACCGCAAGGCCUUGUGCUCCUGGAGCGGCCGAUAUCUGAUUAGCUAGUUGGUGGGGUAAAGGCCUACCAAGGCAUCGAUCAGUAGCUGGUCUGAGAGGACGACCAGCCACACUGGAACUGAGACACGGUCCAGACUCCUACGGGAGGCAGCAGUGGGGAAUUUUGGACAAUGGGCGCAAGCCUGAUCCAGCAAUGCCGCGUGAGUGAAGAAGGCCUUCGGGUGGUAAAGCUCUUUUGUCAGGGAAGAAACGGUGGGGGCUAAUAUCCCCUGCUAAUGACGGUACCUGAAGAAUAAGCACCGGCUAACUACGUGCCAGCAGCCGCGGUAAUACGUAGGGUGCAAGCGUUAAUCGGAAUUACUGGGCGUAAAGCGUGCGCAGGCGGUUUUGUAAGUCUGUCGUGAAAUCCCCGGGCUCAACCUGGGAAUUGCGAUGGAAACUGCAAGGCUAGAAUCUGGCAGAGGGGGGUAGAAUUCCCCGUGUAACAGUGAAAUGCGUAGAGAUGUGGAGGAACACCGAUGGGGAAAGCAGCCCCCUGGGUCAAGAUU
rnacentral:rRNA from 1 species